UGCGUAGGUGGUGAGGUAAGUCGGAUGUGAAAUCUCGGAGCUCAACUCCGAAAUGGCAUUGGAAACUACCUUGCUCGAGGGUUGGAGGGGGGACUGGAAUACUUGGUGUAGCAGUGAAAUGCGUGGAUAUCAAGUGGAACACCAGUGGCGAAGGCGAGUCCCUGGACAACUCCUGACACUGAGGCACGAAAGCUAGGGGAGCAAACA
rnacentral:rRNA from 1 species